ensembl:rRNA 5S_rRNA 5S ribosomal RNA
AUAUACAGCCAUAUCACCCUGCAGCCCAAGGCCAGUUACUCACUGAGGCUAAGCAGGGCUGAGCCUGGUCAGAACCUGGGAUGAGAGACAACAUGGGACAAACUAGGUUGCUGUUUGAA